UUAGUUCAGGGUUUGUUUAACUA
rnacentral:siRNA from 1 species